ensembl:lncRNA novel transcript, antisense to ACSL1
GCAAGACAAGCACGGCCUGUUAUUACGAAAGCUAAAGAAGGAAAUAAAAGGCUUUUUGCCACUGAAAUAAUCCAGAAGACUCUUCACCUUACUGGACUCAGCUAACCACAAAGUAAGCCCUGAAGCAAGAGACCACACCAGGAGAAGAGAGCACAACUGAACAGCAGAGAGGAUCAAAUGUCCUUUCACAGUAGCCAGAGCUGGCCCCAAGCUAUGCAGGCACUUUCCUCCUCCGAGGGCCAUGGAUGGAGAGGAAGCUCCACUUGUUUGAGAAACUGCACGCAGAGAAGCAAGUUUAGGAUAUCAAUGAAGACAAACACACCUGCAAGAGUUAACAGAGCUACAGAAGACAGAUCUGAUAACCACGGCAGUAAGGAUAGCAGCAGGACCUACCUUACAGGGUUGCUGAAGGUACUAAUGAGUUAACCCAUCAGAAGCUUAGCAGCACCUGGCUCUGUCUGCUGCUCUCAUCACUGCUCUGUUCCUAAGCCUGGCCGUGUCCAGGCUGUGGCUACCACCUCGGUCAGCUACCACAGCCCUGCUUUGUGGCAGACACCUGGACCCUGAAGGAGAAACUAGCUCCGGAAGCACUUUCUCAUGACUCUGCUUAAUAAAGGAAUAAAUAGUA